GAUGAAGAACGCAGCGAAAUGCGAUAAGUAAUGUGAAUUGCAGAAUUCAGUGAAUCAUCGAAUCUUUGAACGCACAUUGCGCCCCCUGGUAUUCCGGGGGGCAUGCCUGUUCGAGCGUCAUUUCACCACUCAAGCCUCGCUUGGUAUUGGGCAACGCGGUCCGCCGCGUGCCUCAAAUCGACCGGCUGGGUCUUCUGUCCCCUAAGCGUUGUGGAAACUAUUCGCUAAAGGGUGCUCGGGAGGCUACGCCGUAAAACAAACCCAUUUCUAAGGUUGACCUCGGAUCAGGUAGGGAUACCCGCUGAGCUUAAGCAUAUCAAUAAGCGGAGGA
rnacentral:misc_RNA from 1 species